rnacentral:rRNA from 1 species
CCGAGUUAUUCAACUCAUCAACCCUGUGAACAUACCUAAACGUUGCUUCGGCGGGAAUAGACGGCCCCGUGAAACGGGCCGCCCCCGCCAGAGGACCCUUAACUCUGUUUCUAUAAUGUUUCUUCUGAGUAAAACAAGCAAAUAAAUUAAAACUUUCAACAACGGAUCUCUUGGCUCUGGCAUCGAUGAAGAACGCAGCGAAAUGCGAUAAGUAAUGUGAAUUGCAGAAUUCAGUGAAUCAUCGAAUCUUUGAACGCACAUUGCGCCCGCCAGUAUUCUGGCGGGCAUGCCUGUUCGAGCGUCAUUACAACCCUCAGGCCCCCGGGCCUGGCGUUGGGGAUCGGCGGAGCCCUUUGUGGGCACACGCCGUCCCCCAAAUACAGUGGCGGUCCCGCCGCAGCUUCCAUCGCGUAGUAGCUAACACCUCGCGACUGGAGAGCGGCGCGGCCACGCCGUAAAACACCCAACUCUUCUGAACAACAGGGAUUGCCCCAGUAACGGCGAGUGAAGCGGCAACAGCUCAAAUUUGAAAUCUGGCUCUCGGGCCCGAGUUGUAAUUUGUAGAGGAUGCUUUUGGUGAGGUGCCUUCCGAGUUCCCUGGAACGGGACGCCAUAGAGGGUGAGAGCCCCGUCUGGUUGGACGCCGAACCUCUGUAAAGCUCCUUCGACGAGUCGAGUAGUUUGGGAAUGCUGCUCUAAAUGGGAGGUAUAUGUCUUCUAAAGCUAAAUACCGGCCAGAGACCGAUAGCGCACAAGUAGAGUGAUCGAAAGAUGAAAAGAACUUUGAAAAGAGAGUUAAACAGUACGUGAAAUUGUUGAAAGGGAAGCGCUUGUGACCAGACUUGGGCUUGGUUGAUCAUCCGGGGUUCUCCCCGGUGCACUCUUCCGGCCCAGGCCAGCAUCAGUUCGCCCUGGGGGACAAAGGCUUCGGGAACGUGGCUCUCUCCGGGGAGUGUUAU